AAUAAUGAGAUUUAUACUAUGAUGAGAACGAGAUGUCCAUGUUGGAGAUAAGCUGAUGAAGCAUAUGGACAGAGGAGUUCAGCUCCAAAUAUUGCAGUACAUUUCUGGAUGGUGGGACCCAGAUUUUCUUUGUUUUCAUACUUAUUCCUUAUAUGUUGGAUCAAUGUCUAUGGAGUCUUGUUGAGUUGCUAAAGUCGUGGACAUAUUUGACAACUGCUGGUUGCCG
rnacentral:lncRNA from 1 species